AGCUAAUAGAUACCCGGGUAGUCCCAGCAGUAAACGGUGCGCGUUUGGUGUGAGCAGAUUCGACUCUGUUCGCGCCGGAGCUAACGCGUUAAACGCGCCGCCUGGGAAGUACGAUCGCAAGAUUAAAACUCAAAGAAAUUGACGGGGGCCCGCACAAGCGGUGGAGUAUGUGGCUUAAUUCGAUGCAACGCGAAGAACCUUACCUGGGUUUGACAUGCAUCUCUAAGGAGGUGAAAGCUUCCGAGGGUAGCAAUACCCGAUUUGCACAGGUGCUGCAUGGCUGUCGUCAGCUCGUGUCGUGAGAUGUUGGGUUUAAGUCCCGCAACGAGCGCAACCCUUGUAUGCUGUUGCUAUGCUUACGCAUAGCUCUCUGCGUAGACUGCCCCGUGAAACGGGGAGGAAGGUGGGGAUGACGUCAAGUCAGCAUGGCCCUUACACCCAGGGCUGCACACGUACUACAAUGCUCAGUACAAUUAGAACCUG
rnacentral:rRNA from 1 species